UUUUAAAUUUUAUCAAUUUCUACUAUUAAAAAUUGGCGUAGAAUAACUUGACAAUUACGAGUUGUAUGCCAUGUGUACCUCAUUUUGAUGUAUAUGGACCAAUUUUUAACAGUAUAAAAAGAUAGGACAUUUAACA
rnacentral:pre_miRNA from 1 species